rnacentral:rRNA from 1 species
UAACACCUGGAAACAGAUGCUAAUACCGGAUAACAAUAGAUGAUGCCUAUCAACUGUUUAAAAGAUGGUUCUGCUAUCACUCUUGGAUGGACCUGCGGUGCAUUAGCUAGUUGGUAGGGUAACGGCCUACCAAGGCGAUGAUGCAUAGCCGAGUUGAGAGACUGAUCGGCCACAUUGGGACUGAGACACGGCCCAAACUCCUACGGGAGGCAGCAGCC